rnacentral:rRNA from 1 species
GACGAACGCUGGCGGCGUGCAUAACACAUGCAAGUCAAGGGGGUCAGUAGCAAUACUGGCAACCGGCGAACGGGUGCGUAACACGUAAGCGACCUACCUCAAUGUGGGGCAUAGCCGGCCUAACGGCCGGGUAAUUCCGCAUGUGAUCUUGGAGGGGCAUCUCUCCGGGAUGAAACCAGUAAUGGGCAUUGAGAGGGGCUUGCGGCCUAUCAGCUUGUUGGGAGGCAACGGCUCACCAAGGCUACGACGGGUAGCUGGUCUGAGAGGAUGGCCAGCCGCAUUGGGACUGAGAAACGGCCCAGACUCCUACGGGAGGCAGCAGUGGGGAAUCUUGCGCAAUGGACGAAAGUCUGACGCAGCCACGCCGCGUGAGUGAAGAAGGCCU